GCUAUAGCUCAGUGGUACAACAUCUGCUUUGCAUGCAGAAGGUCCUGGGUACAAUUCGGCUGCUCCAGGUAGAGCU